AAUAUUGCGCAAUGGGGGCAACCCUGACGCAGCGACGCCGCGUGAGUGAUGAAGGCCUUCGGGUUGUAAAACUCUGUCCUCAGGGAAGAAGAAAGUGACGGUACCUGAGGAGGAAGCCCCGGCUAACUACGUGCCAGCAGCCGCGGUAAUACGUAGGGGGCGAGCGUUGUCCGGAAUUAUUGGGCGUAAAGGGUGCGUAGGCGGUUAUUUAAGUCUGAUGUGAAAUCUUGUGGCUUAACCACAAGCGGUCAUUGGAAACUGGAUAACUUGAGUACAGAAGAGGAGAGUGGAAUUCCACGUGUAGCGGUGAAAUGCGUAGAGAUGUGGAGGAACACCAGUGGCGAAGGCGGCUCUCUGGUCUGUAACUGACGCUGAGGUGCGAAAGCGUGGGUAGCGAACA
rnacentral:rRNA from 1 species